ACAUGCAGUCGAGCGAGCAGAUAAGGAGCUUGCUCCUUUGACGUUAGCGGCGGACGGGUGAGUAACACGUGGGUAACCUACCUAUAAGACUGGGAUAACUUCGGGAAACCGGAGCUAAUACCGGAUAACAUUUGGAACCGCAUGGUUCUAAAGUGAAAGAUGGUUUUGCUAUCACUUAUAGAUGGACCCGCGCCGUAUUAGCUAGUUGGUAAGGUAACGGCUUACCAAGGCGACGAUACGUAGCCGACCUGAGAGGGUGAUCGGCCACACUGGAACUGAGACACGGUCCAGACUCCUACGGGAGGCAGCAGUAGGGAAUCUUCCGCAAUGGGCGAAAGCCUGACGGAGCAACGCCGCGUGAGUGAUGAAGGGUUUCGGCUCGUAAACUCUGUUAUUAGGGAAGAACAAACGUGUAAGUAACUGUGCACGUCUUGACGGUACCUAAUCAGAAAGCCACGGCUAACUACGUGCCAGCAGCCGCGGUAAUACGUAGGUGGCAAGCGUUAUCCGGAAUUAUUGGGCGUAAAGCGCGCGUAGGCGGUUUCUUAAGUCUGAUGUGAAAGCCCACGGCUCAUCCGUGGAGGGUCAUUGGAAACUGGGGAAACUUGAGUGCAG
rnacentral:rRNA from 1 species